AUUGAACGCUGGCGGAAUGCUUUACACGUGCAAGUCGAGCAGCAGCACGGGGGCAACCCUGGUGGCGAGCGGCUAACGGGUGAGUAAUACAUCGGAACAUGCCCAGUCGUGGGGGAUAACACUUCGAAAGAAGUGCUAAUACCGCAUACGUCCUGAGGGAGAAAGCGGGGGAUCUUCGGACCUCGCGCGAUUGGAGUGGCCGAUGUCAGAUUAGCUAGUUGGUGGGGUAAAGGCCUACCAAGGCAACGAUCUGUAGCUGGUCUGAGAGGAUGAUCAGCCACCCUGGGACUGAGACACGGCCCAGACUCCUACGGGAGGAAGCUGUGGGGAAUUUUGGGAAAUGCGGGCAACCCUGAUCCAGACAUUCCGAGGGGGAGAAGAAGGCCUUCGAGUUAUAAAGCUCUUUCGACAGGGAGGAAACGGCGAACUCUAACAUGGCGUGCUAAUGACGGGACCUGAAGGAGAAGCACCGGCUAACUACGUGCCGGCCGCCGCGGUAAAAC
rnacentral:rRNA from 1 species